rnacentral:rRNA from 1 species
UACGGAGGGUGCAAGCGUUAAUCGGAAUUACUGGGCGUAAAGCGUGCGCAGGCGGUUUGUUAAGUCUGCUGUGAAAUCCCCGAGCUCAACUUGGGAAUUGCAGUGGAUACUGGCAGGCUGGAGUAUGGUAGAGGAAGGUGGAAUUCCCGGUGUGAGCAGUGAAAUGCGUAGAGAUCGGGAGGAACACCAGUGGCGAAGGCGGCCUUCUGGACCAAUACUGACGCUCAUGCACGAAAGCGUGGGGAGCAAACAGG